CCCAUGUCCCUGCCUGGGGCCAGCUGCUCUCAGCCCCCACCGCUGCCUGCCGAGGUCGUGCCCCCAGAGCCGGGAGAACAAAGCGGGGUGCUGACUGUGGGGAUGCGGUGCCCCACACACUAGCCACUGCCCCCAGCCACGCCGCGGCUGAGCCCAUGUUCACCGCCAGUGGGUGCUCAGCAUCUGUCGAAUGACUGACGUGCGGACAGCACGUGGACCAGCGGACAAAAGAGUGGAUGAUGAACGAAGGAGGACUCAACAGAAAACUCAACGAACGGCCCACCUCCCUGAAGCGGCCCGUGAACAGGAGCCUCACUGUCCUCUCUCUGCCCAUGCAGCCAUGGCGUCUGCUCCCUGCACACUCUCCCCUCCUUUGUCAGUCUCUCUCGCACGGGAGAUUUGAAGAAGCCUGGAGUAAAUGUCUUUGUCUCAC